UAAUACCAGCUCCCCGAGUGGUGGGGGUGAUUAUUGAGCCUGAAGCGUCCGUAGCCGGCUCGACAAGUCUUCCGUUAAAUCCAACGAUCUAAUCGUUGGGCCGCGGGGGAUACUGUCGGGCUAGGGGGCGGGAGAAGCCGACGGUACUUCUGGGGUAGGGGUGAAAUCCUAUAAUCCUAGGAGGACCACCAGUGGCGAAGGCGGUCGGCUAGAACGCGCCCGACGGUGAGGGACGAAAGCUGGGGGAGCGAACCGGAUUAGAUACCCGGGUAGUCCCAGCCGUAAACGAUGCAGGCUAGGUGUUGGGAUGGCUGCGAGCCAUUCCGGUGCCGCAAGGAAGCCGUUAAGCCUGCCGCUUGGGUAGUACGGUCGCAAGACUG
rnacentral:rRNA from 1 species